UAACUUUAAGCACACGUGAGCGUCCUCAGCUGGCAGCCAUGGCUGGCGGGUCCUUCCUAGCAUGUGCUGCGGCCCUCACCUUAUCUUCCGUCAUCAGGGCACAGGCGCCGUGCAGGGCUAUUCCGAGUCCAGGUAGAGAUGGCUGAGCUCGGUGGCAGGAGAUCAGCCUGCGGUGGAGCAGGGACGUUUGCCCUGGGGAGACACGUGCCACCGCGUUCGGAGGGGCUAGAACUGGGUGAUACGCACUGGCUGCGCUGAAUCUGUCUUUUCUCCCCUCCUAGGUGGACAUCGAGGCCCUGUGGGUGGCCCUACAGCGUGGAAGGGAUGACCGAGCUUUGGGACAUGUCCUGGUAAGUCAGUUGUGGAAGCUCGGUGGCCGGUGAAGCCAAACUCCGUAUCUUGAAUUCAUUUUCAGGACUAAUUCUCUCCCCUAGACUUCUGGGGACUGGGAGACUGCAGUAUGGGUCGUGCAGGAUUGGAGUGAUAUACUUAGCAAGCCUCCAGCGUGCUUGGGUCUGCAGUGACCCUGUGCAUUCCUACAGUGCUUGCCAGAACAAUUUUGAAGUGGUUUGAGGCCUUGCCCUGCCCUCUCCAGAGCAAGGUUAUAGAAAUUUCAGACAAUAUGGCAGACACCUGCCACGUGGAUAAAUUACAAGCCGGUAAGAUUUGCAAUGCUGCACUUUGGGUUUUUUGUUUUGUUUAACUGUGUGGGAUAGUUCUGCACAUGGUGCAGAGGCAAAUAAGUCAUUUCUUGUUACUCAAACCUUUAAUUGUACUUCUUUUGUGUGCGUGUCCAUGGGUAGGUAUGGGCCAAUGGAUGGCAUAGAACAUCAAGGUCAGAGAACAGCUUGCAGGAAUUGGUUUUCUCCUUUGAUAGCAGGCAUCUCUAGUCCUACAGCCUGUGUUCUUUUCUGGAGUGCCAGUCAUGACUGAGUUGUGUUGAAGGGAAAUGUCCUGUUCUUGGUAUGGAAGCUGUGGGGUAAAUGGUACGUGGACAGUUGCCAGCUUAGUGUUAAUGCAUUUGGCUCACUGACUCUUCCUUCGGUCUAGGAAACCUAAGGUGCUGGAGCUAGAAGAGACUUGAUAGCACUUCAGAGACCAUCAGGCUGUUUCGUGGAACUUCCACCAAAGAGAUGCAGAAAUGGAGACUCCAGAGCUGGAGAGAGAGAGAUGACUCAACUGUUAAAAGCACUGACUGCUCUUCCAGAGGUCCUGAGUUCAAUUCCCAGCAACCACAUGGUGGCUCACAAUUAUCUGUAAUGGGGAUCCGAUGCCCUCCUCUGGUGUGUCUGAAGACAGUGAUGGUGUACUGACAUAUAUGAAGUAAAUAAGUAAAUUAAUAAAUAGAAAUGAGACUCC
rnacentral:lncRNA from 1 species